CGGCGGUGCCGGCGGCGGCGGCGGGCGCAGAGCGCAAGGGGAGGAGCGGGAGGAGGCGGAGGAUGUUCCCGGCGGCUGCGGCCGGGGCAGCGCGGGCCAGAGGCGCGGCGUGCGGAGCCCUCGGCUGCCCGGCGGAGUGCGGCGGCGGGCUGGCGGGUAGGCGCGGGCUGUGCGCUGCGCCGGGUACUCUGAACCCAAGUCCAGAGCUUUGUUUCCUGCGCUGCCUUCGUGGUGACGGUCAGGGGGCGCCGGGUCGGCGAAGAGCGCGGGCCAGACGCCCCGGGGCCCGGGCGCGGGCCCGGACGCUACGCUCUGAAGGGAAGGCGCGGACAAAAAAAGACCAAAUGGCAAAGCAACCUUCUGAUGUAAGUUCUGAGUGUGACCGAGAAGGUAGACAAUUGCAGCCUGCGGAGAGGCCUCCCCAGCUCAGACCUGGGGCCCCUACCUCCCUACAGACAGAGCCACAAGGUAAUCCCGAAGGCAAUCACGGAGGUGAAGGGGACAGCUGCCCCCACGGCAGCCCUCAGGGCCCGCUGGCCCCACCGGCCAGCCCUGGCCCUUUUGCUACCAGAUCCCCGCUUUUCAUCUUUAUGAGAAGAUCCUCCCUGCUGUCUCGAUCCUCCAGUGGGUAUUUCUCUUUUGACACAGACAGGAGCCCAGCACCCAUGAGUUGUGACAAAUCAACACAAACCCCAAGUCCUCCUUGCCAGGCCUUCAACCACUAUCUCAGUGCAAUGGCUUCCAGGAGGCAGGCUGAACCUGCAGAUAUGCGCCCGGAGAUACGGAUCGCCCAAGAGUUGCGGCGAAUCGGAGACGAGUUUAACGCUUACUAUGCAAGGAGGUUAGAGAAAUAGAGGAAGUUGUCGUGUAGUUGUCAUGUAUUCAGUCCACUUAAGGGCAGUGGGGAAGCGUUUGAGACGGAGCUGUGGAGGCUGAAUCCUUGAAGGAGGAGGUGAGAGAGGCACAGGUAUUUUUGAAUAAUUACCAAGCAGCCGAAGACCACCCACAAAUGGUUAUCUUACGACUGUUGCGUUACAUUGUCCGCCUGGUGUGGAGAAUGCAUUGACAGGUUCUUUGCGGAGCCGAGAGACGUGCAGACAUUUUGCUUGUUCGAACCAACAAGCCCCAGCACCGCGGUCUCCUGGUGCCAUUAUCAUGCAGCCAGCGGUUCUCUGGUGGAGGGGCAGGUGACGUGUUCAGAAGACACCGAGCUGGAUGGGAACUUGACCUUUCUGUUCAUCACCACACAGCAGAAUUUCUAAUGGAAGUUUCUUGUGAAUGUAAAGGAGGGAGCAUUCUUUGCUUUUUAAUGUACAAACCAUGGUUUUUUGGAACAGGAUUUUGUGUAAGAAUGGUGUUUACAUGCAGUGUGUUUUCCCCAUCACCUUUAAUAAGGUUUUUCAAAAAGGAAAUGGAAACUUUUUAAUCAAUUGUGAAUAAUUUUUGUAUUAAAAUUUUAAGAACCUAUGGCCUAUUCUCAGAGGAUUAUGUAAAGCCUGCAGUGGAAACUGAGCCAGCUAACUUAAAAAGCUGCCUUAGUUUAUUUUUAGAGAUUACAGAAUUUUUAAACAGGGAGAGGUGUGAUAUACUCCCUCCCUUCCCUACUAUUGCCUCUUUGACCUUUUAAAAUUAUUUUUAUUAAUACCAAAAGAGUUCUUUUGAAAUGGAACUGAUUAAAAGGGCAGAGGGUCUGUUGUCACCUGCAUUGAUAUGCCAGUCCCAUUUGUAAAUAUUUACGUACCUUUAUAAAUUCAGUUGCAUCUGUGGCAAAAUUUCAGACUAUUUUUCCGUCUUUCCUCAUCACUUUUUGUGAUGUAUCUCCAGUCUGGACUCAGAUUCAUAGAUUUGAUCCAGUGUAUUUUCAUGAUAAAGUGAAACUGAGUCAGAACAAGAGUUAAUAUCCGCCUGUAUCUUGCACAGUUCGAGUGAUCUGUUAUUAACUGGGAAGCAUUUGGUGUUGGUUUUCAUUCCAUUUUGAUGAGUAUGUUAUUGGGAAGUAUUCUGAAGAGGCAAUAGCAGUAAUAGCAACAGACCUAAGUGCUACGCCCCUUUGUGCUGCUGGCUUUUCUGGUUGCAGGCUUUCCCAUGUUCACAGGAUGCACUGUCAGCAUCAGGUCCCAGAGGGCCACCGUGUCCAUUACAGCAGAGUCCAGCUGCAGCAUCCAGCUCACGCCUUCAUGGGAAUGGGCACAGGCCUGGGACAGGGCUUCUGAUGGCCAUUUGCUUGGCCUCCUGCAUUUUAGUCCUCCUGCAUUCAGUCCACUGGCCCCACUCCUUUAAAUUCACUUUGAAACAUAGGCUUCAUCCCACUUCCACCAGCACCAUAGAAGAAUUCUUCUAGGCAGAAGUCUGUGUUUUUCGUUCUUCCAGGACAGUUGGAUAUUGUCAGGCCACUCGUGCCCCCAGCCCUGUAGUGAGGGUGCUCUUUCUCUGUGCCUGCUCCUUGUGAGUGCAAUGGAAGGAAACCACACACUGGUCAGUCGUUUCAGAGGCAGCAGACACCCAGGGAGACACAGGAAAGAGUCAGGUUAGGGAGCAGUGAAAUUGAGGAGGGAAGACAAUUUUGUGAACUCUGUAACUCUUAAAAUUUUUGAAAACUCCAAUCAUUAAACAGCUUUUAAAAGAAAUAAGUAAAUCUUCAAAUGAAUCAGCAGUGCCAGCAACUAGUGUUUUGCCCAAUAGAAGAGCCAGAAUGUUCACAUUAUUUAAAUUAGGUGGAAAAAUCUAAACACUUGUAUCUUCAUAAUUUAAAAUAUAUAUAUAUACACACAUACACACACACACACACACAUAUAUAUAUAUGUAUUGCAUAUUCACUUUUUCCUUUAGAUGGAGAUGAUUUAAUUCCAAAUAUUCUUUCUUUAAAUAAUUUCGUUUCCCCAAGAAUCUCCUUGGGACUUUGACUUAUUUUUAAAGCUGUGUUGGAGCUCAACUUGUUCCCUAAUGUGUCUCGAGCCCAUUUGUAGGGUUACACAAAGCCCACGGUUAUAAGCGGUGGUAGGAUUGCAGCCGCGGGCCUGCUGGACACACACACACACACCAAAGAUGUAUUUGGUUCUGGGCGCCCCCUCCCAGAAUCCCUGUACUCAUGUGCCAGUCUCCUGACUAGAGCACUUUACUCUGUUUCCUCAGCUCUGCAGCCCCUGGGAGCACACACUGGGUGCAGCCCUGGGCCGGGCACCGGGGGCCCUGUCCUGCGCUGCCCAGGGGCUGUGUUCAACACACGAGCACGUUUCUCCUCUGGCCUGGUGGCCUCCAGGCUGGAUGUGGAAACAGUUCCUGAGGAAAUUAGAGAUUCUAUGAAUUGUAGGAGUAUUAAAGAACAGGCUGUUGGCACCAGAACUUAAAGCGAUGACUGGAUGGCUCUGUACUGUAUGUAUCUGGUUAUCAAGAUUCCUCUGCAGAAAGUAUGCCUCCCGUGGGUAUACGUUUUUACCUUUUUUAAAACACGUUUUUGUAGAAAAAAUAAUUAAAUCCCCUUUUUGGAAACUUAAUGCAGGUUUUGUGCCUUGACAACCUCCCCCCAUGUGAGGUUUGUAAAAAGUGUCCUGUGACUUAACACAGAAACACAAUAAACACACACAAAAUAGCUUCAUGAGUGAUUCUUCAGAUGUCCUUCCCAGAAACCAGUUGAUGAAGAAUGUUGGGGGUGGGGGUUGUGGAGAAAUCAAGUUUAAAAUUCCUUCUGAUUAAAAAAUAUAGUGGAAUACAGUUGUCUGCCGUUCCCCUUCUUAAUGUAUAUAUUGUGAGUAUUUAUUAGAUUAGUAGGUCAUAUUUUACUUAUCAACUGAGCCAAAUGUCUGUGUGCAAUUGUGUUUCCUUUACCUUUCUUGUAAAAUUUUGUACAGCAUAAAUGAGUAAAAAAAUCACUGUUUUUCUAAACUUCUUCGGAAUCAAGGAUUGUAAAUAUUGUAGAUUCUUUUUCUGUGUGAUGUGUCCUACUGUUUCAUAAUGCUGUAACUUGUAGAAAUAUUGUAUAUUUAUUUUCUGCUUAUUUAAUGUCUUAAUUUCUGAAAAGUAUUAACAUCCCUGUCUCCCACACCCCUGCCAUUCCAUGAAGUUACCUCCUGAGAGGUGUAGGGGGUGACUGGAGAGCUCAUUGCAGACCACAUGGUCCUCCAGGGUGGCUCUCCAGCUUUGGGUCCUGGUAUUUCCAGUCAAGUGGGUUUCAAUUCUUGGGCUUUGCCGCCCUUAUGAUGAAGUGUGUGUUUGAUGCCAGUGAGAAACUCAGUCUGGCAGGCUACAAAAUUCUACUCCAAGAAAUACCCAGCAACCUUCUGUUUGUUCCAAAGCAGCUAGCUUCUCAUGCAAGCAAAUUUUGCUGACUCCAGGCUUUAUCUUUAGGAAAACAAAAAAACCAAAGUAUUAGCAGGUGGGAAAGAUUUUUCUACUGAAAAUGUAUCCCUGACAACUCAGUGUUUAGAAAAAAGUUAAAAUGUGCCACUUCCGGAGGUGCUGCAUUGCAGUUGUUCAGGGCUAGGGCCGGGCAAGACCAGGGGACGGGUGGGACAGGUGGCUCCUGCCUCAGGACCACCUCCGGCCACUAACCCCUUGUGGACAACUGUGAGUGGUUGGGUUUUCCCCCACCUGCUGUGCGACUUCCUGUGCUUGAGGCUGGACUAAAUUGUCUUCAGGAGCUAAUUUUAAUUAACUGUACAGCCCUCCCCACGCCCCACCCAUUUGGUCACCGCAUUUGGUCAGUCUGCUUCUUCAGGUCAAUGCCCUCCUGAUUCUCCAUCUCCUUCAGGGGAGGUUGGGGCCCCACUGGACUGGGUGUCAAGAUGUGAAAGCUCGUGGAAGCUUUAAGGAGACUUCAUGGUGGUUCCAUGCAGGUGGUUCUGCCAUCCCUGCUGAUUUAUCCUGGUUCCUGUGUGUGUGUACUCACAUGUGGAGGGCGGGGGGAACGUGGGGUCUACUUUAAACAGCAUUGUGUGUAAGAAGCAUCCUCAAGCUCCCAGCUAAGUAACUUGACUACUUUUAUUUGGGAAUUUCGGACCAUAGAAGCUCUCUCAUGUUUUAUGUUCAGAUUCUGUGACCACUAGUUACUGUAUCAGAACUCUUCAGGUACCCACUUAUAAAUAGCACUGAUCUGUUUGUAUACUGAUCCAUCACUAACCUGUUUUCUAGGACCCAGCAUAUGUAGCAUUUGUAUUGCAGUUUCCCUGGCUUACUUGUGUUUUGCACUGAUGAAUUUUGACAGGGUAAUUGCCACUUUACUUGUGCAAUACUGCUGUAAAUAACUGCAGAUUUUUAAAGAAUCUUUUAUGUUAAUUUUAUAAAAAUAAAACUUACAACUAGU